CCUACGGGAGGCAGCAGUAGGGAAUUUUCGGCAAUGGGGGCACCCUGACCGCGCAACGCCCCGUGAACGGAGAAGGUACUCGUAAUGUAUAGUUCUUUUAACAGGGGAGGCAGAGAAAUUUGACGGUACCUGAAGAAUAAUCUCCGGACAACAACGUGCCAGCAGCCGCGGUAAUACGUAGGGAGCGAGCGUUAUCCGGAAGUAUUGGGCGUAAAGGGUGCGGAGAUGGCAUAGUAAGUCUGUGGUAAAAAUGAGGGGCUCAAACCAUUAGGGCAAAAGAUACUGCAAAGCUAGAGUAUGACAGAGGCAUGUGGAAUGACAUGUGUAGCGGUAAAAUGCGUAAAGAUAUGGCAGAACACCAGUGGCGAAGGCAGCUUGCUGGGUCGAUACUGACAUUGAUGCACGAAAGCGUGGGUAGCAAACAGGAUUAGAUACCCGUGUAGUC
rnacentral:rRNA from 1 species